rnacentral:rRNA from 1 species
CUGGCUCAGGAUGAACGCUAGCGGCAGGCUUAACACAUGCAAGUCGAGGGGCAGCGUGGAGUAGCAAUACUCUGACGGCGACCGGCGAAAGGGUGAGUAACGCGUGAGCAACAUGCCCGGUAGUGGAGAAUAGUCGAUGGAAACGUCGCGUAAUACUCCGUAACAUAGAGAACCGCAUGAUUUUCUAUUAAUAGAUUUAUCGCUACCGGAUUGGCUCGCGUACCAUUAGCUAGUUGGCGGGGUAACGGCCCACCAAGGCGACGAUGGUUAGGGGUUCUGAGAGGAAGGUCCCCCACAUUGGAACUGAGACACGGUCCAGACUCCUACGGGAGGCAGCAGUGAGGAAUAUUGGACAAUGGCCGAGAGGCUGAUCCAGCCAUGCCGCGUGCGGGAAAGACGGCCCUAUGGGUUGUAAACCGCUUUUGUUGGGGAGCAAUAAGGUCCACGUGUGGAUCGAUGAGAGUACCCAGCGAAUAAGCAUCGGCUAACUCCGUGCCAGCAGCUGC